ACCAGGAUGGCCGAGUGGUUAAGGCUUUAAGCUAUAGUUGCAAUAGAUGUAUAUCCAUGUGGGUUAGAACCCCACUCCUGGUA
rnacentral:tRNA from 1 species